AUUGAACGCUGGCGGCAUGCCUUACACAUGCAAGUCGAACGGUAACAGGUCUUCGGACGCUGACGAGUGGCGAACGGGUGAGUAAUACAUCGGAACGUGCCCAGUCGUGGGGGAUAACUACUCGAAAGAGUAGCUAAUACCGCAUACGAUCUGAGGAUGAAAGCGGGGGACCUUCGGGCCUCGCGCGAUUGGAGCGGCCGAUGGCAGAUUAGGUAGUUGGUGGGAUAAAAGCUUACCAAGCCGACGAUCUGUAGCUGGUCUGAGAGGACGACCAGCCACACUGGGACUGAGACACGGCCCAGACUCCUACGGGAGGCAGCAGUGGGGAAUUUUGGACAAUGGGCGAAAGCCUGAUCCAGCAAUGCCGCGUGCAGGAUGAAGGCCUUCGGGUUGUAAACUGCUUUUGUACGGAACGAAAAAGCUUCUCCUAAUACGAGAGGCCCAUGACGGUACCGUAAGAAUAAGCACCAGCUAACUACGUGCCAGCAGCCGCAGUAACAC
rnacentral:rRNA from 1 species